UGUAGCUUAGCUGAUCAAAAGCUCUCCCGCAAAAAGGGAGGAUCGUGGGUUUGAACCCCACCACUAUGCGCUCCA
rnacentral:tRNA from 1 species